rnacentral:rRNA from 1 species
UUAAUUUUCCAUACCACACUGAAUGUGCCUGAUCUCAUCUGAUUUCCAGAGCUAAGCAGGGUCAGGCCUUGUUAGUACUUGGAUGGGAGACAACUGUUUUUUGCACAUGAAUGAAUUGUU